rnacentral:rRNA from 1 species
GACGAACGCUGGCGGCGUGGAUUAGGCAUGCAAGUCGAACGGUAUCAUCCUUUCGGGGGUGAGAGAGUGGCGAACUGGUGAGUAACACGUAGGUUAUCUACCCUCAAGACGGGGACAACCCAGGGAAACUUGGGCUAAUACCGGAUGUGAGCAACUUUUAGUUGUUUGAAAGGUGGCGUAAGCUGUCGCUUGGGGAUGAGCCUGCGUCCUAUUAGUUAGUUGGUGAGGUAACGGCUCACCUAGGCAAUGAUAGGUAGGCGGCCUUAACGGGUGGUCGCCCACACUGGGAUUGAGAUACGGCCCAGACUCCUACGGGAGGCAGCAGUCGAGAAUAGUCUACAAUGGUCGGAAGACUGAUAGUGCGACGCCGCGUGAACGAUGAAUCCCUUCGGGGUGUAAAGUUCUUUUAUAUGUGAGCAGUGCUUCUUAUAUUAACAGUAUGGGGAGAGAGAUAUUAGCAUAUGAAUAAGCAACGGCUAACUCCGUGCCAGCAGCCGCGGUAAAU